rnacentral:tRNA from 1 species
UCUAAUAUGGCAGAUAAAGUGCAAUGAAUUUAAGCUUCAUAUAUAAAGAUUAUGUCUUUUAUUAGAA